AAUAGAUUGGUUUUCUCAAUCAACUGGUGUUUCUUUGACCUUUUAAAACCUAUUCUAUAAGGGACAUCAAUGAAAAGGCUUAACAUGUGGAAAGGAUUCCCAUCAGAAACACUAUUGCAUAACACACACUACUAUUGGAUUCUCUAGAAAUUGUCCGUAGAGAGAAAGGAACAGAGAGCUCUGGUCUUUUGGAUGUCUGCACCUGGAGGAGGAAAAUGACAGCAACUUGGAUGAACAUAAAUCCCUGCUGGGGAGUUCAACAGGUCUGUGUUUUUAUUAGGGGCUCCUGAGGUUUCUCUCCCAUGCAUUUCAGUUGCAGACAAGAAACAGCCGGUACUGAUUUGGUUUCAGUUUAAUCCCACAACAAAGAGCUGGCAGGACUGUAAUGUUUGGUAUUCUAGUUUUAUAUAUGUUUGACACUCUUAUUCUAGUAAAAUGACACUUAUAGGGGCAGAUUUAUCAACGG